UUAUUAUAGGCAUCCCAACUGAACCUUAGCGGUCAAUCAUGAUGGCUUUAUUUUGCCGCAGUGUGGCUCUCCUAUGCAUGGCUGUUUCUGCCAUUGUGGCACAAGAAGAUUGAGCACCUCCCAUACUUGACCUAGUGCUGUUUCAUACAAAUGGUGAAGGAGAUGCGGUCUACCACAUGGGACUUAUGACAGAUAGGUUUUUGAGACUACUAGUAAGCUUGAUGUUAAUAGAUGCAAGACUGCCCAUAUGAUGUGUAUCCUGCAGAUGACUUCUCUGGAUCAUAUUUGUCUAGGGAAUACCUCCUUGGCUCCUUCAUCCAUAUCUUAGCAACAGUGGAGCAGAAGGACCAUCAGCCCUUGCUGCUGAGUGUGGCGACCGCAACACCAGAGCUGCAUCCGGUGGGCUCCGUGUACCUCUUCGCCAAGGAGUUUUACAAUUGGGUUAUACAGCAGGAUGUGACUGGUGCUUUGUGCGCUGUGGAUUCAUGUGGCGAACCAUUCCUGAUUGAUGGCAAACCAUUUGACAUGUCUGGUGGAUAGCAUGACUUCAAACUCAAUUUGAACCAAGACAUUUCUGAAAUCCGUCUCUCUGCAAGCCUUCAAGUUUACCGUUGCAGUGGUAAACUUAUGUGACUUACAUUUUGACACUGAUGAAUAUGAGCACUGAUCCCUAAUUUCUUCUCAGGUCUAUAUACACUGUAAACUUUUGGCCUGGAACUCCAGCGGCCUUGAUACCAGCAGGAAGGCCUGCCAUUAUGUGCAAGGGCAUGGGUCAACUCAAAAUGCUGUCCUUGGACCACUUAUAACCACUGACAAUUCACUGGCCUAUGAUGUGAACGUGGUUUUGUUACACCCCAAAUGAUCAUGUCAAAGUUAAUUUUUGUAUAUUCUGUUUCAUUGACAUGUUAGCCGAACUGUACUUGUGUUUGUUUCAGGUGUGACCCUGAGUACAGCUGGGUUUCCUGGGAGAUGGGCAGCCAUCUACCGUGCAUGUCCUGACUCUGGAAUGGUUGACGUGAUUUGAAAUAAUGUGUUGCUUUUUCUUGGUUUUAUUCUCACUUGUUAUCUAACAAGAACCUAAGGUCAAGCACAUUAAACUUGACUGUGCCAUGAGUUUAAACUCAAUUUUGCAAGCAGGUCAUUGUGCCGAUGUGAUGCUAGUAAAUGGUUUGAAGCCUUUUAUUAAACCAAGCACGCUUAGGCAAUUGUAUAGUUCAACUAUGCUUAAAAGGAGAUCAGAAAUCCAUGGAUUGUGCUAGACUUGUCUUCAUGAUCUCAAACCAGAUGACUUGUUUCAAGGCUCAUGUAAUUCUCUCUCCAGUUGUCGCACCACUGCAUUGUCUGUAGUCGCCAGCGUUUUGAUAUUCAUAGAUGCUGUUUCUACGACAGCCUAGAUAUGUGCUUCAUAACCGCCGCGAUUGACUCUGCAGUACCUUCACUGUCUGAAAAUGCCUGUAUUUGUGAAAUAAUUGAGUGCCGUUGUCUUGGUUAUUACAAUGUUAAAAAAUGCAGAUGAAUCUGUAAGCGUUGCAGUAUUUAAGCUGUUUCUGUAGGUCAAGGUAAUGUCCUGAUUGGCGGGGCCUAUAUUGACCUAGCAGAGAAGGCUACCUUUUAUGAACUGAGGUAUUUGUUACAGAUCACUAACCAGUCACGGGAAGCCGGAGCCAAGUCACUUCAUUACACUAUUUUGAAAAACAAGUCUCACUUUCAGUCAGAUGACUUAUUUUAAUAUUAGCUGAGCUUUCAGUCAGUUGCUCUGCAGAGCAUAUCUCUACAGUGGGACAGAAAUAAUUUGACACCUGUGGUAAUCUGAAGUACCCAAAAAAUCCACUUACACAAUCAGAAAUACAAAUACUAGAUGAAUAUUUCCACUACAAAUACUAGAAAAAAAUGAUUUGUAUAAGGAACCCAUGCUUUCAAAAAGAGCAAUAGCGCAACAAUGGAAGAAACAAAAUAUACCUUUUCCCAAUAUUGUUCUGAUGGUUUACUACCUGAAAGUUCAGCUACUAUUAAAAUAAAUUUAGGAUCUUACUGGAAGUGUUCUGAGGCGUUUUGCAUUUUGCCUCCUGCACCUUCACUAAUCGGUUUUGGGUGUGCUGGAGAUUCUGCCUAUUAUCCACAAAAUAUUUUACCUUCAUUUGCUCUCCAGUUCUUCUACUAGGUGUUCACUUGCCUGUAGUCUGACCUCAAUGGCUUUCAGUUCAACAUCUUGUGCUUAAACACGCAAGCAAAACCAAUCAAUAUCACACAAAGGCUAUUUAGUUGUAAUGCAGUGUGUAGGCAUGUAGCUCAGCAGCUGUGAGAUCCCCUACCUUCAUUCUGUCUGAUCAGGUCUGCCACCUGGUUUUCAGGCUGACUUCCACUUCAGCAAGUUCCAUCUUGGUGUAUUUCAGUUCAACAAUUUGCUCUACCAACAUCUCAUCUGUCUCAGC